AACAAAGCACACUACUCUACUAAAUUAAUUACUACCCGUCUACCCGAUAGCCCACUCUCUGAACAAAGCACACUUGAGUCCUUGACACUAUCUACUUUACUCUCUCAGACUCUCAGUCCUCAGAUCUCGAAUUCUCUCAUAUCUCGAACUCUUAACUCAAACCCAGACGCCCAGACCCAGAUCUCGAUUUCUCUCAUCGGUCGACGCCGACGGCCAUCGCCUUCGGUGCGACGGUCCUUCUCCUUCAUCUCAAACUCUCAAUCUCUACAUUCUCGGCGCGGCGGUUACCGGUACGAAUUUUCCUUCAACUUUGAUUCUUUGACUGUGAGAAGUUCUUUGGCUUACUGAACUUCCUAAACAGCAUCUAAGUAUUUCUGAGUCAUUCGGAUGCUCUGAAUUUUCUAUGCAAUUAUCUUGAUGAAUGAUGGGUCUAAGUCUUCAGAGUCUUUCAUAUUUUAAGUAGAUUUUCUAACCGAUUAAAUAAUUUCCUUUAUUUUUUAAAGACAAAUUUCUGUAGUUAAUAUUCGUUUUUCUAUUAUAUAACUUGAUUUAAUCUAGGCCUAAUACCCUUGUGGUGUUUGAAAAAUUGUCUCAGUGAGGUUGAAAGGUGUAAAACUGAGAUUAGGAUUGUUGGAUUGCAAUGAAAAGAGUUCUUUUGAAAUUUUAAAAUACUUUUUAACACUAAUGUUACUAUUUCUUGAAUUGUGUAAAAUACCAGUGGGGACAUCUUUGAUUGAUUGUUAAUGUAGCAAUGCCUUCUUUUAUGUUCAUAUUUCUUGAAAAGAAGGAAUCUGAUGCCCAAACAUGUCAUUCCAGCAUCCAAUUCUUAUAUAAUGCCCAAACCUCACCUUUCCGAGGAAAGAUGUCAUACUCCUCUUUCUUAUCUGUACUUUCUGCUCUUACCUGAUGAGAAAAGGAAAGGGUGCUAUAUUGCAUCUUUUUUACCUUUCUAAUCCUAAAUCUCCCACAACAAAUGGGCAUCUUUCUGUCGAUCCAUUGAAUCAUGUCCAUUGGUGUUGAACCGGCACCAAGCCAUGAAAUGUGCAAUUUAAACUCCGGGAGGGGAUCAAUUUUCUGAUCUUAGCAUAGUAUUUUGGCAAGCCAUCCUCAUUACACAAUUACUAAUACUCAAUUACUAUUUUCCGGGACUGUACAAAGGAGAGCAGGGUGGAAUAUUAGUAGCAUGAUCUAUGUGCCAAUGAAUACACUAACUGGGACUGUACAUAAGAUGUUUUUGGAUUAUGGUGAUGAUAGUGGUCCUGGGUUAUUGAGGUCAAAAAUUAUUGUUGAAUAUUAUGUGGAAUUGCAACUGAUGUAAUUCUUUCUUUUUAUUCAUUGCAGUUUGGCAAAUAAUAAUGCAAGAACUGUUGAGACUGAGAGAUAUUGAGACUUGUUGAUUGCUGCUGCUGUUUAGACUUGUUGAUUGCUAUUUGCUGAUGCUGACCCGGUGUUAAUUUUUUGUAAUAUAUGUUUGGCAAAUAUAUGUUUUGUAAACACUGAUGUUAAUAUCACUGUGUACUGUUAAUGUUAAGUUAGGCAGAGUUGUAUACUAUUAAAUUCGGUUAUUAACCGAAUAACCAAAUAAUUAAUUCGGUUAUUUGGUUAUUCGGUUAUCAUGUAUUUCGGUUAGUUGUUCGGAUAUUCAAAAAAGUGUUAUUUCGAUUUUCGGUUAUAACCGAAUAGCUUAUUCGGUUCGGUUAUAACCGAAUGCUCAGUCCUAAUAAAUACAAG
rnacentral:lncRNA from 1 species